CAGAUCCUUCAGCAGUAUUAGCAGCAGAUCCUCCAGCAGAUACAACAGCAGUAUCACCCUCCUCAGUCGAGCUUUUUUUCUGCUUUCUCAUCAGAUCUCUCAGUCGUACCGCAUAUUUUUUUUGGUAUAACUAUUGACUGACCUAAGCUCCAGAUUGGAGAAUGUUGAGAGCUAUUUACUCAGAUUUAGUGGCAGAAUCUUUGA
rnacentral:lncRNA from 1 species